UCUCAUGAAUGAGCAGAGGGAGUGGUCUCUUGAGAUGGAAACUAUUCCUGGUGAAGAUGCUCUGAA
rnacentral:pre_miRNA from 4 species